GACGAACGCUGGCGGCGUGCUUAACACAUGCAAGUCGAACGGGCCUGUCUUCUUUUUUGGGGGGUGGGUUGAGUGGCGAACGGGUGAGUAUCACGUGAGUAACCUGCCCUUCGGUCCUGGAUAACCGCUUGAAAGGGCGGCUAAUACGGGGUGGUCCGGUUGGUCCGCAUGGGCUGGUCGGGAUAGAUUCACUGCUUUUGGUGUUUCGGCGGGGGAUGGGCUCGCGGCCUAUCAGCUUGUUGGUGGGGUGAUGGCCUACCAAGGCGGUGACGGGUAGCCGGCCUGAGAGGGUGGGCGGCCACACUGGGACUGAGAUACGGCCCAGACUCCUGCGGGAGGCAGCAGUGGGGGGUAUUGCACAAUGGGCGGAAGCCUGAUGCAGCGACGUCGCGUGAGGGAUGGAGGCCUUCGGGUUGUGAACCUCUGUUUCCGGUGGUGAAGGCCCUGUCCGUGUGGUGGGGUUGACGGUAGCCGGGGAUGAAGCGCCGGCUAACUACGUG
rnacentral:rRNA from 1 species